GCCUACGGGGGGCUGCAGUGGGGAAUAUUGCACAAUGGGGGAAACCCUGAUGCAGCAACGCCGCGUGAAGGAUGAAGGUCUUCGGAUUGUAAACUUCUUUGAUCGGGGAUGAAUAAUGACAGUACCCGAAAAACAAGCCACGGCUAACUACGUGCCAGCAGCCGCGGUAAUACGUAGGUGGCAAGCAUUGUCCGGAAUUAUUGGGCGUAAAGGGCGCGUAGGCGGUUCUUUAAGUCAGAUGUGAAAUCCCGAGGCUCAACCUCGGGCGUGCAUUUGAAACUGGGGGACUAGAGUGCAGGAGAGGUAAGUGGAAUUCCUAGUGUAGCGGUGAAAUGCGUAGAUAUUAGGAGGAACACCAGUGGCGAAGGCGACUUACUGGACUGUAACUGACGCUGAGGCGCGAAAGCGUGGGGAGCAAACAGGAUUAGAUACCCUGGUAGUCG
rnacentral:rRNA from 1 species